CAGGAGCUUUUAAGGAAAAUGUCGAGUGGACAGCAGGAUUCUUUGCAAAGGAGAUACUGUCCUGGUCUGCUUUGGUGAUUUUACUGCUUCACUGGCUUACUCAGUGAUAUGCUGGAAGAGAGCACUCAGGGCAAAAGGAUUGGAGAGAACUUCGCAGAGGCCUGGAAAUAAAGUGACAUAAACCUGGAAAAUGCUCUACCCAUGUAAUUCCACAAAUCAGCCUUGCUAACAAAGGAUAAUGAAAAGCUACAACUGAAGGACAUCUAUGAAGAGAUUAGAAACUGGUUAAUUUUAGGGCAACCUUAACUGUAUGUCCAGGGUAGUAGCUAGAAUUGUUUCCCUUAACUGUGUAAUAGCUAGAAUGUAUCUUAGGUUCUCAUCUAGGCAAAAAGGAAAGGAUAGGGGAAAAAAGUCAUGAUAUUCUUUGUGGAUGCUGCUUUGUAUACAGACAAUGCUGUAGCUAGUAGGGUGGAAAGGACAUCAGAAGGUCAUCUCAUCAGUCUUUCUGCCCACAGUAUGCUUAGCUGGAUGUAAAUAAACUGUUUCUGAUAGAUGUUACAGUAUUUUGUAACAGUUGAAGUUGGAAGGGCCCUCAUGAGAUCACCUUUUCCAGACCCUGUGCACAAAUUGGG
rnacentral:lncRNA from 7 species